GGUCCUGCUAAAUUGCUAAAUUGCCCAAACUGGGCUUCAACUUGCCUCCUGCCUCAGACUCUCACAGUUCUGAGAUUACAGGCAUAUGCCACAUGCCCAGUUUACAAUGUCACUUUAAAAGAUUUUUUUUCCUUAGUCAUAUUAUGAAAUAAUUAUAAACAUAUGAGGAAAAGCAGUAUCACAACCUUAACAUUGACGUGUGCUAAUAAACAUCAUAAAGCAAACCUGGAUGCUUCCAAACAGGCUCCAGUAUUUGUCAGGUGUGGAAACCACCUCUAAAUCUGCUGCAUUUGGCUUCCAAAUAGAAAGAUUUUGUAACAUUUAAAAAAUCAUCACAGUAAUCCUGUCUAAAAUCUUCAGCCUGUCUUGAGAACAGCAAGCGAGCCCAAACAUGUUCUGGUAUUGCCAUUCCACAUCCACACAGUAUUCACUCUUGCAUUUAUUGGCUGCUUAGUAUGAGCCAGGUACAUUGCACUUAUCUCACUAACCUUACCGCAAUUCUCUGAGAUAAAUGCUGUAUUCUAGUUUUGCAAGUGUGGAAACUGACAUGUACCGAACGGGAUAAUUUAGUAGAGUUCCUGCAGCCACUAAGGUGGGUUCCCUUCCCAGCUUUUCCUUCUGCUGUGGAUUGCCGCACGCAGCUACUCCUAUGUACAAAUCCUGAAGCUAUGACUGCGAAGACGUGGUGGUUGCAGUCUUGGAGUCCUGGAGGAUUUCAGUUAGAAGACACAAGGAUCUGGCUUAAUUUCAAUAUGUGGCGACCAGACUUCAGCAUACUGCUUGUUCAAGGACAACUU
rnacentral:lncRNA from 1 species